UUUUAGUUGUGCAAACUCUGAAUGAUAAUUCUCUGAAAGAGUCUGCUCAAAUAUAGUUUUGUACUCAAGCAUUGCUGUUCUUUUCUCAAUUUAAUAUCUAUGUUAGAGUCAUUUAUGUCUCAGAAAUUCAUAGCCAGCCAACUCCUUGGCAUCAAGAUCCGAAACAUGGUCUUUUUUCUCUUUGGUUGCUUCUUACCAGGAAGGAUUAUUGAUUUCCAUGAUAUUUUCAUUAAUUGCUCUUAAUUUUAUCAAGGCAUAUGCCUCUUCUCAUCUUGGAAACUUUUGUGUGUGUGUGUGUGUGUUG
rnacentral:misc_RNA from 1 species